UAGAACCACAAUUGUAAUUUUAAAAGCCUAAGUAUUGUAUCCUUGUUAGAAGAUACAAAGAUAGAGACUCAUACGGACUUCGGCUACACCAUCAAAGCUUUGAGAAGCAAGACGAAGCUUGAUUAGUGUUUUUGUGUGAAAUAUGACGUGAUGUCAUGUGUAUGAUUUAGUAUAAGAACUAGAACCACAGCGGAUCUUAAAAGCAUAAGUAGUGUUUUCUUGUUAGAAGAUACAAAGCAAAAGACUCAUACGAACUUUAGCUACACCAUCAAAGCUUUGACCAGCAGAAGAACCUUGGUUAGUGUUUUGGAGUCAAAUAUGACUAGAUGCCAUGUGUAUGAGUGAGUAUAACAACUAGAACUGCAAACAGAUCUUAAAAGCCUAAGUAUUGUAUCCUUAUU
rnacentral:sRNA from 1 species